GACAGAGGUGCCGAGCGUUAGGCGGAAUCACUGGGCUUAAAGCGUGUGUAGGCGGGUCGUUAAGUGUCUUGUGAAAUCCCACCGCUCAACGGUGGAACCGCUGGGCAUACUGGCGAUCUUGAGCAGUCCAGGGGCGAGCGGAACAAGCGGUGGAGCGGUGAAAUGCGUAGAUAUCGCUUGGAACGCCGACGGUGAAAACAGCUCGCUGGGGAUGUGCCGACGCUGAGACACGAAAGCCAGGGGAGCAAACGGG
rnacentral:rRNA from 1 species